AUGGGUAAGGAGAAGACUCACAUCAACAUCGUGGUCAUUGGCCAUGUCGACUCUGGCAAGUCGACCACCACUGGCCAUCUGAUCUACAAGCUUGGAGGUAUUGACAAGCGUGUGAUCGAGAGGUUCGAGAAGGAAGCCGCUGAGAUGAACAAGAGGUCUUUCAAGUACGCCUGGGUGCUUGACAAGCUGAAGGCCGAGCGUGAGAGGGGUAUCACCAUUGAUAUUGCCCUGUGGAAGUUCGAGACCACCAAGUACUACUGCACCGUCAUUGAUGCCCCUGGUCACCGUGACUUCAUCAAGAACAUGAUUACUGGUACCUCCCAGGCUGACUGUGCUGUGCUCAUCAUUGACUCCACCACUGGUGGUUUUGAGGCUGGUAUCUCCAAGGAUGGCCAGACCCGUGAGCACGCCCUCCUUGCUUUCACUCUUGGAGUGAAGCAGAUGAUCUGCUGCUGCAACAAGAUGGAUGCCACCACCCCCAAGUACUCGAAGGCCCGUUAUGAGGAAAUUGUCAAGGAAGUCUCUUCCUACCUGAAGAAGGUCGGAUACAACCCUGACAAGGUUCCCUUUGUCCCCAUCUCUGGGUUUGAGGGUGACAACAUGAUUGAGAGGUCCACCAACCUUGACUGGUACAAGGGCCCUACCCUUCUUGAGGCUCUUGACCAGAUCAACGAGCCCAAGAGGCCCUCAGACAAGCCCCUCCGUCUUCCCCUUCAGGACGUUUACAAGAUUGGUGGCAUUGGAACUGUGCCUGUUGGCCGUGUUGAGACUGGUGUCAUCAAGCCUGGUAUGGUUGUUACCUUUGGUCCCACUGGUCUGACAACUGAGGUCAAGUCUGUUGAGAUGCACCACGAGUCUCUCCUGGAGGCGCUUCCUGGUGACAACGUCGGCUUCAACGUCAAGAACGUUGCUGUGAAGGAUCUGAAGCGUGGCUUUGUUGCAUCCAACUCCAAGGAUGACCCUGCCAAGGAAGCGGCCAACUUCACCUCCCAGGUCAUCAUCAUGAACCACCCUGGUCAGAUCGGCAACGGCUACGCCCCAGUGUUGGACUGCCACACCUCCCACAUUGCUGUCAAGUUCGCCGAGCUGGUGACCAAGAUCGACAGGCGAUCUGGUAAGGAGCUGGAGGCGCUGCCCAAGUUCCUGAAGAACGGUGACGCUGGUAUCGUGAAGAUGAUUCCCACCAAGCCCAUGGUUGUGGAGACCUUCGCCACCUACCCUCCUCUUGGCCGCUUCGCUGUGCGUGACAUGAGACAAACGGUUGCUGUUGGUGUCAUCAAGGGCGUGGAGAAGAAGGACCCCACCGGUGCCAAGGUUACCAAGGCCGCCAUCAAGAAGAAAUGA
rnacentral:rRNA from 1 species